rnacentral:rRNA from 1 species
CAGUAGCCGCGGUAAUACGAAGGGUGCAAGCGUUAAUCGGAAUUACUGGGCGUAAAGCGUGCGUAGGCGGUUUGUUAAGUCUGCUGUGAAAUCCCCGGGCUCAACCUGGGAAUGGCAGUGGAUACUGGCAAGCUAGAGUGUGUCAGAGGAUGGUGGAAUUCCCGGUGUAGCGGUGAAAUGCGUAGAGAUCGGGAGGAACAUCAGUGGCGAAGGCGGCCAUCUGGGACAACACUGACGCUGAGGCACGAAAGCGUGGGGAGCAAACAGGAUUAGAUACCCCCGUAGUCCCUGUCUCUUAUAA